GUCGCGCGCCGCAAGCACUCAAUGAAAAGCAUUGUUUAUAUAUAUAUAUACAUAAUAUAUACAUAUAUAAACAAUAAUAAUAUAUGUAUUAUGUAUAUAUAUAUAAAAAAUGCUUUUCAUUGAGUGUUUGCGGCGCGCGAA